AACGCUGGCGGCGUGCCUAACACAUGCAAGUCGAACGAGAAAGCGGGGGCAACCCCGUGAGUAAAGUGGCGACCGGGUGAGUAACACGUGACUAACCUGCCCUUCAGUGGGGGAUAACCUCGGGAAACCGGGGCUAAUACCGCAUAACAUCUUGCGGGUGCAAUUCCUGCUGGAUCAAAGGAGCAAUUCGCUGAAGGAGGGGGUCGCGGCCGAUUAGCUAGUUGGUAGGGUAAUGGCCUACCAAGGCGACGAUCGGUAGCCGGCCUGAGAGGGCGCACGGCCACACUGGAACUGAAACACGGUCCAGACUCCUACGGGAGGCAGCAGUGGGGAAUUUUGCGCAAUGGGGGAAACCCUGACGCAGCAACGCCGCGUGGAGGAUGAAGUCCCUUGGGACGUAAACUCCUUUCGACCGGGACGAUAAUGACGGUACCGGUGGAAGAAGC
rnacentral:rRNA from 1 species